rnacentral:rRNA from 1 species
UACGUAGGGCCCAAGCGUUGUUCGGAAUUACUGGGCGUAAAGCGUGUGUAGGCGGUCCUCUAAGUCGGAUGUGAAAUCCCUGGGCUCAACCCAGGAAGUGCACUCGAAACUGGAGGGCUAGAGUAUCGGAGAGGUUGGUGGAAUUCUCGGUGUAGAGGUGAAAUUCGUAGAUAUCGAGAGGAACACCGGUGGCGAAGGCGGCCAACUGGACGAAUACUGACGCUGAGACACGAAAGCGUGGGGAGCAAACAGG